UAGGAGUACACCAUAUUUAUUUA
rnacentral:snRNA from 1 species